UACAAGUAGUAGGGAAAGGAAACUGGACGACCUUCGGGAGCUUGUACAGGUGCUGCAUGGCUGUCGUCAGCUCGUGUCGUGAGAUGUUCGGUUAAGUCCGCUAACCGAGCGCAACCCUCGCUGUGUGUUACAAGUGUCACACGGAACUGCCGGUCAUAAACCGGAGGAAGGUGGGGAUGACGUCAAGUCAGCAUGGCCUUUAUAUCCUGGGCUACACACACGCUACAAUGGGAAGGGACAAUAGGUUGCGAAGCCGCGAGGCGGAGCCAAUCCAGCAAAACUUCCCUCAGUUCAGAUUGCAGGCUGCAACCCGCCUGCAUGAAGUUGGAGUUGCUAGUAAACGCAGGUCAGCCAUACUGCGUUGAAUACGUUCCCGGGGCUU
rnacentral:rRNA from 1 species